rnacentral:rRNA from 1 species
UACCCUUGGAACUAAGCAUAUCAAUAAGCGGAGGAAAAGAAACUAACAAGGAUUCCCCUAGUAACUGCGAGUGAAGCGGGAAAAGCUCAAAUUUAAAAUCUGGCAGUCUCUGGCUGUCCGAGUUGUAAUCUAGAGAAGUAAUGCCCGUGCUGGACCGUGUAUAAGUCUCCUGGGAUGGGGCGUCAUAGAGGGUGAGAAUCCCGUCUUUGACACGGACUACCAGUGCAUUGUGGUAUGCUCUCAAAGAGUCGAGUUGUUUGGGAAUGCAGCUCAAAAUGGGUGGUAAAUUCCAUCUAAAGCUAAAUAUUGGCGAGAGACCGAUAGCGAACAAGUACCGUGAGGGAAAGAUGAAAAGAACUUUGGAAAGAGAGUUAAACAGUACGUGAAAUUGCUGAAAGGGAAACGCUUGAAGUCAGUCGCGUUGGCCGGGAAUCAGCCUUGCUUUUGCUUGGUGUACUUUCUGGUUGACGGGUCAGCAUCAAUUUUGACCGCUGGAAAAAGGCCUGGGGAAUGUGGCAGCUUCGGCUGUGUUAUAGCCCCUAGUCGCAUACAGUGGCUGGGAUUGAGGAACUCAGCACGCCGCAAGGCCGGGUUUCGACCACGUUCGUGCUUAGGAUGCUGGCAUAAUGGCUUUAAGCGACCCGUCUUGAAACACGGACCAAGGAGUCUAACAUGCCUGCGAGUAUUUGGGCGGAAAACCCAAGUGCGUAAUGAAAGUGAAAGUUGAGAUCCCUGUCGUGGGGAGCAUCGACGCCCGGACCAGAACUUUUGGGACGGAUCCGCGGUGGAGCAUGUAUGUUGGGACCCGAAAGAUGGUGAACUAUGCCUGAAUAGGGUGAAGCCAGAGGAAACUCUGGUGGAGGCUCGUAGCGAUUCUGACGUGCAAAUCGAUCGUCAAAUUUGGGUAUAGGGGCGAAAGACUAAUCGAACCAUCUAGUAGCUGGUUCCUGCCGAAUUC